GGGAGCUGGAAUUGGCAUAUAAAAUAAUUUUCUUUCUAAUUAAAAAAAGAAAGAAAAUAAGCAAAAGUCUCACUGUGGAAGUUGUAAUGCGACUUAAUUGGUCACAUAGUCCUUUAGUCCAUAUAUUGUUACUUGCAAGCGUUAUUGUUUGAGUUGUUGGUCUGGCUUGAGGUCUAUGGCUGUUGGUGCAUCUACUGUGUCCUCACUGGGGCUCUUCCUGGAUAUUCUGUUGUCCUGUGUCUUGACGAUUAUAUAACUUUGGGUCUGCAGAACCAGCCCUUUCCCAUACUCUAGCAGAUCAUAGAUGGGGUGCAUGAUGGGAUAUGUCAAAUCAUAGCUCUGGUUCAAGAAACUAUUUGUCAAUAAUACCUCUCAAGAAAGGGAAAUGAUUUUUUCCUUGAUGAAGUGUCACUGGGUAUAUUAACCAUAACUUUGGGCAGACCCCAUGAGCAGAUGUUGGCCAACAGCAAUGUGUUCUGUCAAAUUCUAAGAGAAUUUGAAAUAGUGGAUAAUAACCAUAGGUAUAUAGGACAUCCCUGAACAGCAAAUGUAGCAAAAGUAUGUAGAAUGAAUUCGAAUUGGUCAUAAUAAUAAAAACCAGAACUCAGAUAUAAGGUUUAAUACGGAAAGAUCAGUGAAGCAGAGCAGCCAGAAACUAGUUCUUACCUUUACUGAAUCCUCAGACUAAAGGGGCAAUCCAGUUUUUACAAAACUUUAGACUGAAUGCUCUGAGCUCCUGUCUACUUCCUCUUUAUAUUCUUCUCUCUGUCACCCAUAUCCCUUCCUGCUUCUACCUCUUUAUUGUUGGGAUUAAAGGCAUGUGACUCCCAAGUACUGGGACUGAAGAUGUGAGCCACCACCAUAUUCCUCUGUUCCCCCUUUAAACUGGCUUAAUCUUUUGUAGCUCAGGGAGCUACAAAAUCACAGAAAUCUGCCUUCCUCUGCUUCCCCAGGGCUGGAAUUAAAGGUAUGUGCCACCACUGCCAGUCCUCUUUGGCUAACUAGUGGCUAGCUCCACACUCUGAUCUUCAGGCAAGCUUUAUUUGUUAAAGUACAAACAAAAUAUCACCACAGAAGUAAUCAAUUUCCGACACUUGUUAUUAUCUAGGAGAGUUCUUUUUAUUGCACUAUACAAUAGCCCCAUUUAAACUGUUGUUAUAUGUGAAUAUUUUUAUACUUUAGAAAGCUUCUACAAUAGAAGUUUGUCAUUUCACAUUUUUAGAAAUUCUUUAUAAUGUUUGGUAGUUUGAGUAAGAUGUUUCCCCAUAGUCUUAGUCAUUUGAAUACACAACAAUAGAAAAGCAAACCAAAAUAUAUGGAAACUGGAAUAGGAUAAAAUGAUUUAUGUGUUAAGAAUACCUUUGCUCUCGGAAAAUAUCUGGGUUAGGCUACAUGGCAGCUUCCAGAAUAAUGUAAUUAAAUUAAAGGGGGAUCUGAGACACUCUUCUGACCUUUUGAAACCUGGGCAAUUCAUACAGAUAUACAUGCAGGAAAACACACACACACACACACACACACACACACACACACACACACGUGUAUAUAUGUGUGUGUGUGUGUGUGUAUUAGACACUUAAAAGCAAAGAGAUUUUUACUGAAAUAACUGAAUGUAAAAUAAUAAAUCAAAAUCACAUGCAUACAAUUUGAAGAAUAAUGACAGUGACCAAUUAACUUUAAAAAGAGUUUACAAUGAUUUUCAGUUCAUGAACUAUGAGUUCAAAAACAAUGGAGUACAUGAAUAAAUUAAGAAGCACAUGUAUCAUAUCCAGUGUGUAUGAAGAUGUGAACUAAGGAAUCUUACUCCAUAAUUCUGAGACUUAAAAUAUGAGGUGGAACUCGGGACAUGAGAUAUCAUAUUGCUGGCUGCGUAUUUAACAGACCACUACUACAUAUUUUCUACUGAAUGUAUUCAAAAUAUUCACAGAAAUGAUACUAGAAGAGGAAAAAAUAGAAAUAACUGAAAGGAACUCAAAUGGCUAUUCUCAGUAGAAUGUAAAACAGCACACUGUUUUUUUUUUAGAUACUCUAUAGAGUAAAAAUAGCCAAGUGAUUUAACAUGAAUGAACCACAUGAAUAUAUCCAUUAAGCACAGUUUUAUAAAAUACUGUCUAAAACCAAACAUAUAUAUUAGAGAGAAAUUAGAAAAUGCUUAAUUUAGCAAUACAAUGCCUUUUCUAAAAGAAAAAAUAGCCAUAUAGGGUGUACUAAAACAAUGAAAAUUUCUUACAUCUGGGGAAUUAUUUCAAAGAAUGAGGAAAGAAUUGGGGGCGUUAGACUCUUAUUUUGAUCAUAAAAAUCUAUAAAAUCUAAUGCUAAUUCCAAUUACUGGUUUUGUAUGUGAAAUAUAGAAUCAUUCUUAAAUAUAUUGAAUAGUUUUAUUUUGAACAAUGAAUACAUACAAACUGAAGAGGAGACUCAGCCCAUUGGAGUGCUUGCUGGUCUUCUAGAGGACCCAUGUGUCGUUCCCAACAACAAGGGAUCUUCAUAUUUUUGUCUAGUAAUUUGCAAUAAAAAGCAUAAUUUUAGGAAUAUUAGGAAUUAUUAUAUUUUAAGCUUUAAAGGUAAGUGAUAGAACAUUUAAUUAAAUCAAUCUUUGUAGAAUUAUUUUUUAAAACUGACACAUCACACUUACACUUCAUUUUUUGAUUACAGAAUAUAAAUGCAUGGGUUCAUCUAAUUAAAGUAGCUAAAAGUUUUGGUUGUUUUUGUUUAUUUCUUGCAGGACAUGGCUUGAAUUUGUAGCCUUUUACUAGCCAGUCCAUUGUAUUACUACAUAGACAUAUCCUUUGACCAAGACUGGUAUUUUUUUUAUUAUCUUUAAAUAUGAAAUGCUCAAUAAUAUUUAUACAUUUUCAGUACCAGUGAUUAAUUUUAUGAAGGUGGUAAUAUAAAUAGUAAAAAAAAAGCUUAUUGAGAAGCAAACAAUAAAUACUUGAUAUUUCAUUACUAGUUUGUAGAAACAAGGUAGAAUUGUGCACAAAUACAGUAACAGAGAGAGAUACAUAGAUACACAUAUACAUAAGAAUAUGUACAUAAACACAUACAUGCAUAUAUGCACACAUAUACAGAAAUGUAUUUAUUCUACAAAAUACAUACAUUUUCAUCUAGGUAUAUUUACUACUUCAGGAAGCUGCUUGUAUAUCUAGACCAAAAAAUGGGAAUUUCAGCACUUACAGGCUUCAUUUUUUCCUUUACUAAUUAGUCAAAUCCUUUGAGCAAGCUCCAGGAUUCUGCAUCAAAGCACAGAUCAAAGUUAUGGGAAGAACACAUUUCAUAACCUGAAUUAAACAAGGUGAACCCAUGAAAUGGCAGUGUAUUGUGAAAAAGUGUUUAUUGGUUUAGGAUCUAAAAAUUGUUUGUAUUGAAGGUAUAAAAUGUAUGUUUUGAUAAUUUUUAAUUACAUUACAGUCAAAAUUUUCAAAGACAAAUUAUGAAUGCCAACAGAGAAAACUAUGAAAUACCUUAAAAUGCUGAUUUUGAUUUUUGAAAAUGAACAGACUUUACAUUUUAAGCAUCUUUAAAUAUAUUUAAAUGGAAAGUACAGUGAAUUCCUAUGUGUUAUAUCAGUUUUUCUAUUAGCACCUCAUUUUAGAGUACUAACUCAAUAGCUUGCUGAAACUCAUUUUUGGUUAUUUAUGGAUUAAUAUUAAUAUAUCAUUAACAACAAAAAUCCAUGGUUUACAUAGGGCCUGCCAUUUGUAUGCCAUAUCUAUGUAUUUUGACUUAAUGAUAGCAGCAAGCAUUGCCAUCAUUACAGAAUUAUAUAUAAUAAUUGUGUCACUCUACGUAGUUCUCCACUCCUUAUUUCCAAAUCUUAAUAUUUUACUUAUUUCUUUGGAUGAUAUAUGAUAAUGAGUACCAUUUCAAGUUUUUAUCAUUUAUACAGUUUGCUUAAUCAAAUUGCAGAUAUUUAUUUUAUUUUUAUUUCUUUAUUUUACAUCCAGGCUGAAGUUUCCCCUCCAUCCUCUUCUCCCAGUCCUUCCUUUCCUGUGUUUUCAUCCCCACCCUGAAUUCACUCCUCCUUUUCUGUUGGGCAAAGAUUAAGUCUACCACAGAUAUCAACAGAACAUGGCACAACAACUUGCCAUAAGACUAACAACCUUCCCGUGCAUGAAGGCUGACCAGGGCAAACCAUUAUGAGAAGGAAUGUCCUAAAAGCUUAUAGAAGAAUCAGAGAUAGCCUCUGGUCCACUAUUAGGAGGCUAUCUCUAAUAGCCUUCUAAUAGUUAUCUAAUAGCUAUUAGCUAUAUCUAAUAGCUAUCUCUAAUAGCUAGAGGACCAAGCUAAACAACAGCAACAUAUACACAGAGUGCCUAGGUCAGUCCAUGCAGGCUCCGGUGGUUGUCAGUUCAGUCUCCGUGAGUCCCUCUGUGCCCAGGUUAGUUGAUGUGGAUCCUGUGAGUUUUAUUGUGGUAUUCUUCACCCCCUGAUUCCUGAAAUCUUAUUUCACCCUCUUCUGCAGGAUUCCCCGACCUCCACCAAAUGCAUCUGUUUUCAUCAGUUGUAGGUACCCUGUAUAUAGUAGAAUAUCAUUAUACAUUAUUACAUUGACAUUUCUUCACUUCCAGUUGUGUUUUGUUCUAUCCUGGAUCUCUGGGUAGUCUAGCCUGAGGGUCCCGGUGCUCCAGGAAGUGUCUCAGAUAGACUUGUUCUCCUGGCAAAGGUUUUAGGUUAGACACUCUUUGUUUGGCCACUCCCUCAAUCUCUAGGCCAUCAUUAACCAAACACAUCCCAUAGACAGGACGGAGUGUGAGUUAAAGGUUAUGUGGCUGGACUGUUUUCUCACUCCAUCCACUUGAAGUCUUGCCUAGUUAUAGGAGAUAGCUUGUUCAGGCUACAUAUCUGUCAUUGCUAAGUGUCUUUUCUGGGGUCAUCCUUGUAGCUUCCUUGGAAAUAGAAAUAGAAGAGAUUUUUGAAAGUAGAUCAGAGGGUGUGAGGAACUAAACAUAAGACAUCAAGUUAGUGGAGCAGAGAGGAAGAAUAUUGAAAGAUACCACUGGAAAAGGGGGAGGGACAUUUCAUGGUCAGGUAAAAACCUGGAGCAAACAUGUAUACUUUUGAUAUAUUUGUUAAUUACUAUAUCUUAUUAUUAAUUUGAGAAUUAUUAGUAUUUGCACAUUAAUAUGUUUUAUGUUAUUUAAAUACUUAUUUUUGGUUAUAAUAAAGUUGCAUAUUAGUAUAUUGAAUUUGAAUGUUUUGCAGAUUUACCCAUAGCCUCUGAUUUUUCUUUAUUGUUUUCAUAUGUAUAUUUUGAAUAAGAGAAGUUCUCAACUUACCCUAUCAACAAUUUCCUGAAAUUUUAAAAAAGUAAUAUAUAUGUGUGUGUGUGUGUGUGUGUGUGUGUGUGUGUGUGUGUGUGUGUGUGUGUGUAUGCAUUGGUAAUGGAGGAGAUAGGGGUAUAGUGCACAUGGCUUCUGGAAAGCCAGAAGAGAGCUUCAAGUACAUUGGAACUGGAGUUACAUGUGUUGAGAACUGAGCUCAGAACUCUCCCCAGAGGAGUAUGUGCUCUUAAACACUAAGGUAUUAUUCACCACUGGCGAAUAGUUUAGUUUAAAACAACAAUAUAUGCAUGAUUACCACUAAUCAUUAUUAUAUUUUACUUGUGUAUAUUUUAAGUUGUAUUUACAUGACAAAUUGAAAAUAGAGUAUAAUAUCAGUUGGUUCAGAUAUAUGGUCUCUGUAUCUUGAGGGCAGUUGAGAUUCCAUCUCUUGGAACCUGUCUCUUUCAAAUCAUAAUGGACAUCUAGCUAUGUGGAACCAUAUGCCGAAUUGCCUGUGGUCAUGAUUUUGUAUCACAGCAACAGUAAAGUAGCUAAUACAUUAUCAUUGUUUCACUUUAAAUAUUUUGAAAAGUCUUGUCAAAAACUAAAUUGUAAUACAAAAAUACUGUUAGAAGUUUAUGAUAAAAUCAAAAGAACAGUUCAGAAAACACAAAGAUGAUAAUGGAAAAGUUGUCAGCCAUAAUCAGACAAUGCUUAAAGUUUAAGAAGGGAGGUCUGUACUUUCACUACUAUUUAUAAUACAUUACCAUUUUUACAGCCUUUGAACACUCUCAACUGAUUCUUCUACAACUGAUUGUUUUAAUGCUCCUGAAUCACACUGACAAAAGAAGCUUACAUUCUGUGUUUUAUGUAUAAUCAUGUCUAGUAUUUUAGGGAUUUGAGAUUGACUUAGUUUUGGUGGUUAGACUUCUUGUGUUUCUGAACUAGGGUCACCAAUGUUUAAGUAAUUUUGUAAACAUCUUAACACAUACAUGCUCAAAAUAUUAAAUACACAUUGAUCUUUCUGUUUUAUGAAAGCUGAGAAUAAAGUCAUGGUACUUAUGUUUUACAUCUGAAAUUAGUGUAACUCCUCACUAUUUUUCUCAUAAGCUACUUUAACAUCUUGAAAAUUCUUUUGUUACUUCUAUCUUGCCCUAGAUGAUAUUUCUAAUAAAUAUAAGUAGCAUCUUUAGAAAUAAGUCUGUAUAGUUCAGAAUUGUUUCUAGUGUCUCCUUUAGCCAUUUAUUAGCUUAGCUAUAAAUAUAAAUGUGAUGAAAUAUUAACAAUUUCAUGUAGAACAACCAAACAGAACACACUACAAGACACUUUUUUCCUUUUUUAAUCAAUUUUUGUUAUUUUUUAAUUUUAACUAUUUUUUACAUACCAAUGCCAGUUCCCAUUCCCUCCACUCCUCCCAUUCUCUCUUUCACUCACCCCACCUGCCACCUGCUCUUCACAGAGGGCAAGGCCUCUAAUAGGAGUCAACAGAGUCUGUACCAUCACCAUGUUGAGACAGGACCAAGGUCCUCCGCCCUGUGUCUAGGCUGAGCAAUGUAUCUCUCCACAGAAAAUGAGCUCCUUUUGCCCCCUUUUUGUGUGGAUGUAUGUGGUGAAGGAAGAUUACUUUCGUGUCCCAGAGUAGGCUUGAACUCCCUUUGCUGGUCAACUUACCACUCCCCCCACACACACACAUGUACUGUCACUUUUCCUUUGCACCCUGAAUGCUGGGUUUCUAGACAUGCACUACCAACUCAUUCUCCAAAGUUAUUUGCAUAAUCUUUAAGGCAUAACUUAGUCUAUGCCUGUAUUCUUCAAUUUUAUGUAACGGUAUUCUUCAGUUUCAUGUAUAGUUUCAAAAUCCGGUGCCACCUUUAAUAAUUUUUCUCACCACAGAUCUUACAUACACACUUACUUAUCUUCUCCAGUGCUUUCAGCACAAUAACUAAAUUCUAAGCAACCUCUAUAAGUAUAACGUUGAAUUACCUGCUUUCUGACAUUACUACCAUCCCAACUUCUUAUUUAUUUCUUCUAUAAUUCAAGGUAUCUGCCUACAUUUACUAUACAUUUUAUUCUUAAAUUAAUCUAUAUGAAUGAUUUGCAUAUCCAUGUAGCCUAGAUGUUAUUCAGAGUAGUUCUUAUGUCAUGAUCCUUCAGUAUGAAAAUUUUGCAAAAAUAAUAGUGACUUUAAUAUACAUUUCAAUAAGCAAGAAACUUUCUGUGUAUGUUAAGGAAAACAUGAUUAAAUGAAAUCUUAUAUCAUCAUAAUAUAAAGUGACAUUUUCAAAGUCAAACUCUUGAUUUCCACAAAUGAUGACUUUUGUGGAUCUUAAAACCAGUCUCAGUUGAUAAUCUUAAAAUAAGCUCUGAUAUUUUCAUACAAUAAACAGAACAGAAAGUAUGUUUGGUCAUAGUGAACCAUUUUGUUUUAUGCUCCCUGCAUUAAUUGAGAACUCCUCUGGAAAACACAGACUAAACUUACAGUAAGAGCUUUCCUAUUGAAAGGCUCCUGGAAAGUUCAAUCACAUUAAUACAGAAUGUUUUGUGGUUUAAUUGGUAUUCUACCAAAAUAACACUGUGUAUGUUCUUAAUAAUAACCAAGUGUUUUGGUUGCUGGACAGAUUUUUCAGUACUUAAUAUCAUUCCUUGCUAUUGCAGAUGAACCGAGCUUCUUUCUUAGUCUCUGUAUGGUAGCUUAUAUCUAUCUCUAAUACUGGUUCCAGUGUAGACAAUACUCUCUUUUGUCUUCCUCGGGAACAGGUAACAGAAAUGAUGCAUAACACACAUGCAGGAAAAAAAAACACUAAAAAAAUAAACCAGAAAGUGAUUUUUAAAAUAGUUUAAAAACUGUUAGCAAUUCUCAGCAGUUGUGAUUAAAACAGCAUCUGAAAGGGUACUCAUCACACUUCUGCAGUUAAGAACCUCAACAUUUAUAACCAUAGGAGACAGUAUUAGACAUUUAAAAAUACUUUCGACGUUUUCACCUUCAUGCUUCUUAUUUCCAAAGACUGCAAACUUCAAAAUACUAUAUGAUAACUUAUAAUACCAAUAUUUGAUAAUUUGUUUUCUCCAACUUCUUCAAAAAAUCAGUAUCUGAAAAAUGUAGAAAAAACUAGACCUCACCUUAAGGGAAAACAUCAUCUCCAGAGGUCACAAUCUUUUUCUAUAAUGUAUUGUUUUUUAAAUUCUUCUGUGAUGAUUUCAUUCUUUCAAACUGUUAAGUCUUCUUGGAAGCAUAAAAUAAAAAAUAAGUGCUCUGAGAUCAGCAAAUGAGGUCACUUUAUUUACUCAUAAACAUCAAGGAGUCAGAAUGGAAUUUUUACUAAGCACAUACAGUGGGUACAUUUUAAGAUGCAGAACAAAGGAGAUAUUUUCUAACUAGAUACAUUUUAAAGUGUGAAUUAUAUCUUAAAAACAAGGUAUAACGUAUUCAUAAAAGACUACCUUAUACCUUGGACUGCCCUGGUAAUGAAGCUUUCCAGUGAUAGAUCCCAAGACUUCUCUAAAUCCAUGUAUACCAAUUACAGAAUAAAAUAACAAACAAACAGGAAAAAUAACACAUACAAACAUGCACAGACACGGUCACAUUUUUUUGCAGUCCAAAAACCAGAAGAUAGUUGCUCAAUACCUUUCAUAAGAUCUGUAAUAACAGAUUUGUGCUAUAACAAAAAGUUGUGUUAAAAAACAUUGGCCAACAAAUGUUUAGGUAUAACUGUUGCCACUCCAAAUUUAUAAAUUCACUACUCAUUGUUACUUCAGUCAAAGUAAAUAAUGCAUAUCAUUACUAAAUAGACAAUAGAUCCUAAUUUGGUCAAAUCUGAUUUCAGGAGUUUAUAACCAUUAACAGUUUUACACUCUGUGCACAUACACUUUGUGCCUUCCAUUUUCAAGGAACGCCAUACCCUGAGACUUACAGAUGUCUUUCAAAGUCAUGGAUUACUUUAUGAAGAGUGUGAAUGAAUGAGCUGAAUUUAAAGUCAGAAAUAUCAUGCUGAAGUGCUUUCUGCCAAAUUCUUUAGCUCCUUUUCAUUUAUUUUUACUGUUGAAACUAUAACUUGAUUACCCUAUUUCUCUCUCACUUUCCUUCCACAAUAUCCUCCCAUACACCACUCCUUGAGAACUUUCAAAUAUGAGGCUUUUUUUUUACAUGCAUGUAUAUUUUCAUGAAUAUGCCUUAAAAAUUGUUAAGUCUGUAAAAUACCUGUGUGCAGUUUUUCAGGAUGUACUUUUUAGCACUAGACAACUAAUUGGUACAUUCUUUCCUGGAGAUGGACAACUUUCCUCUUCCUAGCUUUCCUCAGGUUUUAUAUUUAUUUUGUAGGGUUGAGACCAAUGGGUUUUCCUCCAGUUUGGCAAGCAUUGGUGUCAUAUUCUGUCAUUGUUAAUUAUUACGCCCACACUAUCAUAAACUAUCCUAAGUGUGACAUGUUGUACAGUGACAAGAAGAAAAUAUAACAACUUAAGUUAUGUAAUUUCCCUAAAAAGCAUGUAUAACACCCUCCUUAUGUUUUCAUAUCGUGAGUAAUAUCAUACUCAAUCCAAAAACCCAUUUCUCUAUAACACAGUCUUUCCAUGGUUCUGGCUUCUUUCAACAUUCCAAAUAAAAUCACUGUCAACAUUUGGCAUUUUACAGGUUCCUCAUUCUUAUCAUAUAUAAAAAUAUUGCACCUAGACUGAAUAUAUACAAAUAUUCAUGCCAUUACUACCUGAUAAACACAAUAUAGCAAUUUAUGUAGUGGGGGGGGGAACUGUAAAUAUCUAGAGAAGAUUUCUCAGAGGAAGCUUCAUUUACAAACUAUAAUUGAUACCUCCAUUAAACAGUAAAUAGUUGUCCUGAGCUUUCUGCUUUUCCUGGAUCUAGGACCAAGUUUCUGCCUAUAGCUUCCCCACACCUCACAGAAAUCGAUCUUUGUUUCAAAUACUCAAAUUCUCUAGUAAGGGGAUUCAAAAAGUAACCUAAAUCUGAGUUUGUUUUAAAUAAAAAUGAAUGAUUAUUGAGUGAAGCUAUUGUUACCACAAAAAGGUGACAGCCUGGUUUUCCCAUUUUAUUGCUGUUGUUAUCCUUUUAACAUUUCAGUUCUGAAAUGAUGAGAUAAAUGUUUCUCAUUUUUUUCUGUCGGAAAGAUAUUAAGUAGUCAACAUUAACUUCACUCUCUCUGUUUAGUAUGAAACAAUGCAAAUACUACUACUAAUGGGCAUUUGCCCCACUGACCAAUGAUCUGAACACGCUUUGUUUCUCACUCAAUUCCAUGCUAAAAAAAGCUACUUACAGGGACAUCAUUGUUAGAAAUGCUUAACAAAAUCCAGGUAGAGAGGCAUGCAUCUUUAUUCCCAGCACUCAGUAGUGGCAGGUAAAUCUCUGUAAGUUUAAGGCCAGUCUGAUUUAUAUAGUGAGUUCCAGGACAGCCAGAAUUACAUACUGAGACCCUGACUCAUAAAAACCAAAACAAAACAAAACAAAAAUCAAAGAAAAAGAGAAAUAUUUAACACCAUCCAUACUGUAUUAUAAAUAAAUAAUUUUUAAUCUUAAUCAGAGUGAUUAAACAACAAUGUAAGACAGCAAUCCAGGAUUUGCAAUUUACAGCUGGACACCAGGUCUUCUUAGCUGAAAUGGUGCCACCCGUUAAUGAUUAAAAUUAAAAUAUGUGAGCUUAUGGAGGCCAUUCUUACUCAAACUAACAUCAUUAUAAAACCACAAUUUUUUGACUGAUGGAUUGACUUAUAAGAAACCAUUUUUCUUUUAACAUCUUUUCUGCACAGAGUUUAAUAUUGUAUCUGGCAAUAGUAUCUAAAUCAAAAUUUCAUUUCUAAACAAGCAGAAAGAAUUCCAGACUGUUAAAAAAUUAGUAUAUCAGAUGAUAAUAUUUUCACAUUUCUUUCCAGUUUUGAAAUCACAAUUUAUGGUUGUUGUCAACAUAAAUUUCUGUCAGCCUUUGGCUAUGUCUUAGGCAACAUUUGGAAUUCUGUAAUGCUAGGAAGACAGGGAGUCCAGCAUGGUUUUCUAUAGGAGACUGAAUCUGUAGAUAGAGUCAAAAGUGUUUCCAACACUAGUCCAGUUGUUGGUUAAAUGCAUUUCAAAAGGUAGGGGUAUGUGUGUGUGUGUGUGUGUGUGUGUGUGUGUAUAAUAUUUGAUAUUACAAGACUCUCCUUUUUAAACUAAUUUUAUGUAAAUUAGAAACAAUCUUAUUUUACAUAAAAAUUCAGUUCUGUGUCACUUCAUCCCACUCCCCCCACAAUCUUCCCAUCCAACCCUACAUGCACUCCUCAGAGAGGAUGAUGCCUCCCAUGGGGGAACAUCAAAUCUGUCACAUGAUUUGGGGGAGGAUUAUUGCUCUCCCUAAGUAUCUCGUCUCAGAGAAUAUCCCUCUGUAGGGAAUGGGCUCCAGAGACCCAUUUCAUGAACUAGGAAUAAAUACUGGAACCAUUGACAGAAGCCCCAUAGACUGCCCAAGCACAACCGCUACACACAAAUGACACCACAUUGAGGGGGCUUGAUUUAAUCUAAUGCAGGUUCCCUAGCUGUUAGUCUCAAGUCCAUGAACUCCCACUUGCUCAGGUCAGCUCUUUCUGUGUGUUCUCCAACAUGGUCUUGACCCCUUUGCUCAUCACUCCUCCUCUACAGCAGUAUUCCUGGAGUCUAUCUCAGUGCUUGGCUGUGAAUCUCUGCUUCUGCUACCACCAGCUACUGAAUGAAGGCUCUGUGAUGGCAUUUUAGGUAACUCUAAUAAUGUAUCUCUUUUCUUGUUCUUCUCUACCUCAAGACACAUCAAUUCCACUCUUAGGUAUACACCCAAUGUAGGUGCAUUCAUAACAAAUGGACAUCUGAUCAACUAUGGUCAUAGUAGCAGUAUUUAUAAUAGCCAGAAUCUUGAAGCAACAUAGAUGCCCCUCAAUGAACCAAAGAAUGAAUAAAGAAAAUGUGGUACAUAUAUACAAUGGAUUACAAAUCAGCAGUAAAAAACCAAUAGAAUCUUGAAAUCUGCAGACAAAUAGAUGGAACUAGAAGAAAUCAUUCUAAGUGAGGCAUCUGAGACACAGAAAUACAAACAUGGAAUAUACCCACUCAUAAGUGAAUAUUAGAUUAGAGCAAAGGAUAACCAGCCUACAAUUCACAACCCCAGACUAUCUAGGAAACAAAAAGAACCCUAAGGAGACAUACAUGAACCCCCAAGAAGGUGAAAGGGACAAGAUCUAUUGAGUAAAUUGGGAGCAUGGGGAAAGGGGAAAGAGAACUAGCAGGGACAAGUGGAGGGGCGAGGAGAACAUGAGGGAUCAGGGGAAGGACAGAGAAGGAGAGCAACAAAAGAGAUAUCUUCAUAGAGGGAGCACUUGUGGGUUUUACAAGAAACCUGGCCUUAGGGAAAUUUCUAUGAAUCCACAAGGAUGACCUCAACUAAGAUUCUAAGAAAUAAUAGAGAGGCUACUGAAAAUGCCCUUCCACUGUAAUGAGGAAUCUCCUUAGGCAGUAAAUUUUCAUUUUCUUUUGGUUCAGUAAAAUAGAUGUCUGGCCCUCCCUUUUUUACCAGACAUUCCAUCCCCUAUAAAUCCAUAAAUAUAUAAUAAAUGCAAAAUAUCAUUUUUGUUGAUGAUAAUUUUCAAUAUUCUUUAAAUUUUUGAACUAAUCCCUGAUUUAAUUGGAAUGUUGUCACAUAUGUUGACCCCAAAUAUACAGUAUAGAAUUACAUUUCACAUUAUGUACCACAGUUAAUUUUCCUAAGUUUCCUUCCUUUUAAAUCAAUUACUCAUUUUGGCAAGUCAGUAUGAAUGUUGUAAAGAGUAAGUAUAUGUUGUAAGUAUACUUACUCUUUAAAAGAGUAAGUAUAUGUUGUAAAGUAGGAGGAAACAAAGCAGGAGUAGUUAUAGGGCAACAGGUAUCAAAGCAGUUAACAGAAAUAAGUUCUAGUUUUCUGUACUAUUAAAGAACUACCAUAGUUCACAAUAUGUGAUUGCAUAUUGUACUCUUUUGCAGGUCUAUAUAUCUGGCAGAAACAAUGGGAGAAGGUUUUUGCCCAUAGAUGCUGGGCAGUACAUAUGUUACCUGGAACACAUCAGCUUGUUCACAAAACUAACAGUUACAUGUUCUGUUUCUGGUGGGGGUACCUUUGACUUAGAGAUUGAGUUGUUAGAAUAAAAAAGACACAGGACUGUGUCCCAUGGCACAAAUAUUUAUUUCCAUAUGUUCAUAGGAGUUUUAGUUUGUUUUCAUCAUCUUGUAGAGCAUUCCUGACUGUGUUGUAACUUUCAUGCCAUUUGUAUGAGGAUUCCUCUAGUAAUGUAAGAGAGAGUCUCUUCAUUUCUGCACGUAAAGCUAAAUUUUAACAUUGUCAAAUAAGCGGUCCCUAAAUAAAUAUUUAUAAAUUUUAAAUAGGACUGCAACAUGUUAGAAAAGAAACUGUUACUUUAGUGUGUGAAUGACAUCUAUUGAAAGCCUUUUAUUGAGGAAGGAAAUGGUUCUCAUUUUUAUUUAAUAAGGAGUAUACAGUAUAGAAAUCAAUUUGUUUCUCAUUGUAACAGUACUUUAACACAGCAGACAAGCAACAAAGUUCAUUUAGCAAACUAGAGAUCUUGAAAUAAACAAACACUAUAUUAAUGAGAUUAAGCUUGCUUCUGAAUCCCUGAAAGUACACUCUGCCUUUUAAUAGGCAAAGUAAGAUAUUUUAAUAGAUACCCUAAUAAGAAAGAUGAGAGCCUUCAAUUCAUACAAAGUGCUAAGCUGAAAUACGUACUUAAAUGCAUCUCAGGCUCUCUCUGCUAGUUGGCUAGCAAUUAAUCAUGAUUAUAGUGGAAGACUGUUUAACACCUACAAGAUAUUAUGAGAGCCUGCUUUCUAAGUACCAUAGAAUCCACAUUCUAUUUGUACUGAUUGAUACAGUUUUUUUAUCAUAACUAAAAGAAGAAUGGUGGACAUGCAUGCACAGACACACAUGUUAUAGAUAUAAGGUAAAAUAUCUGUGGGAUGACACAAAAUUACUGAAAAUAUAGUCAAAUAGCAAUGCUAUGAAUAUAUUUAAUAAAUAAAUAUUCAUACAUUAUUUUCUUUAAGGCAGUUUAGGGCACCAUUAAAGACAACUUUUCAGUGACUAAGAAUAUUAAGAUGAAUUUUAGCCAAAUCUAUAGUUGCAAAAUUGGAAUUUUACCCUAGGCACGGAUAAUACACAUCUGUUCUUCAGGCUCAUUUAACAACAGACUACUCUAGUGUACAGGAUCAAAUUCAUUAGUUUUUUGAAAGAUGGAGUCAUAUGGUUAUAUUUCAUAGUUAUUAAUUUUUAGAAGUUUUCAAUGGUAAGUCACUUUUCUGUUUCUACCCUAUUGUAAGCUGAAUUUUAAAGGAUAGUGUCCACCAUAUGCUUCAUUUUUUUCACUAGGAUUAUUUUAAUCCUUCAGAACAUGUAAGAAGGUGAGCAAAAGUAAAAACCCAAGUAAGGAAAAAAAACAAAGAGGGGAGGCAGAGAGAGGAAAAGAAGGAGAGAAAGAGAUGACAAAGAGGAAAAUGGAGGAGGAGCUUAACAAUUCCAUGAGAGAACUGUGAUGUGGGAAGUGCAUAUAUACUUAGUAAGACUCUCUAAUGACCCUUAAGUGGGUUAGCAAAAAGCAUUUCAUUUAUUAUUAGGCCAUUACAUGGUAAAUGUGAUUUAUUCAAAGCCAUUUGGAAAUGUGCAUUUGGAUUUCAUGUUAAACAAGCUAAGUAUACUACCAUUUAAUUUUUUCAUCUCUCUAUAAAAAUUCAAACAUGAUGCUUAUUAGCCAAAGAGAGUUCCUCCUCUCCUAGUUUUAUAUCAAAUUAUUUUGUGUUAGUGUUUGAAUAGGUGUGUUUAAGACUCUAAAAUUUGAAGCUCAUUUUCCAUGUCUUUCUGAUUAACUAGGAAAAUCACUAUCCACUUCAAAUGAAACAAUCCAUGAUCUAUUUUAAAUCAAUCCUCGUUAUUUUGUGUAUGGGAAGGAUUAAUUUGUGCAGCAUUUAAUAAUUCCUUUCGCAUCCCACUUUUAAUGUGUAUCAAGCCAGAGAAGACAUUAGAUGCCAUGGAAUUGAAAUUAAAGAAGUUGAAAACCGCCCAGUGAAACCUGGGAAUCAAACACUGCAAACACUGAAGAUUAGUAUCAAGUAUUCUUAUGUAUUGAUGUACCUCUCUGGUGAUGCAUGAGCUAUUUUUCAUUGUUUUUUUUUAAUUAAGAAUAAGAAAUAGAUUGACAUAUUAUUACAUAACAAUUUUAAAGAAAAUAUAAAGAAAUUUCACUAAUUAUAAAUGCAAAACAAUAAAUAAUGAUUUUUAAAGAUAUUAUUUGAGUCAGAAUUACAAAGAUCAGGUAAAAUACCAAAGUUGUUGAUAAAUAAAUCAGCUUUCAUGCAAUUGUUGGAAGAAGUGUUUUUAUUAUGAAUGCAGUCAAGGGAAAUUAACAUGAAAAGCGGUGAAUUAGGAUGGAACUCCCAGAUUAAUAAUGAGAACACAUGAUUAAAUAGCAACUUGAUAAAAUAUGCAAAAUAUUGACUAAAACAGAGAAGGAUAAUUAAUAGCAAACACAGAAAAAGGAAAAGGAAAUAACCAUUUUCUACGUAUGUACUAAAUGCCAAUUAUUCAUUAAAUUGCCCAUUAAAUGCAAAAUUGGUUGGAGGAUAAAAUGAAGCAAGAAUGUUUAAAGUACUUGUUUCAUAUUAUUUUUUGUGAGGGAAGUAUCUGUACAUUUAUGUAUCUAUGUAUUGAUCUUUAUUUCUGCUUUGCUUUUUCCUAGCAUUCUUUUUAUUACUUAUUUAUUCAUGUGUACACUUAAUUGCAUGAUUACUAUGAUAUUAUCAUUCACAUGUGUUCUUUUAGUUAUUCAUGCACAACCCACAAGCUCCUUGUUUUCCUCAUUUGCCAUUCCAAAAUAUUGAAGCUUUAAAUCUAUUUUCUUUCACCAGUUUUAACUGAAAGGUAAACUUUAACUGACAAUGUGAAAUUACAUAAAAAUGAUGUAGUAGAAUAGUAUAUCCCUAAGCAAUAUCACAAAGAGAGUAGUGAAAUAACAUUUUAAUGAAACACAAUAUCAUAAAAUUAAACAAGGAAAACAAAAUCAAGCAAUUAUUUUAAAUUUUAAACAAAUAAUCAAUGGAUUACAAACAAAUCACAAUGACUUGAGAAAAGGUUCAGCCAUUAUGAGCACUGAUUAAUCAUCUGAAGAAACUGAUUCCUAUCACCCUCAUGCAGGCUCACAAACAUCUGAAACUUUACUUGCAGAUACCUAGUAUCCCCAUCUUUUCUUUCUCAGCACCAAGCAUACAUGGGACACACAGACAUAAAUGUAGGUAAAACUGUCAUGCAUAUGUACUAUUUUUUUAAGAAAGCAAUUGAAAAAGUGUCAGUGAAAUAGUAAAUAUAACAUAUAUUUUAGUGAAUGUUUUAAUAAAACUCAAAUAAAUUAUUCACAGGAGUUAUUGUAGAAAAGGAAUAUGCACAUUGCAAAGGAUGAGUAAUAUAUGUGUCAAGGCCAGGCAGGGAGGGGUAGUGCAAGCCUUUAGUUUCAGCAUUCUGGAGGCAGAGGCAAAGGGAUCUCCUGCCUGUUCUAUGAAGCAAAUUCCAGGGCAGCCAGAGAGAAACCCUGUCUCAAGAUACCAAAUAAAUCAAGAGAAAGAGAGAGAGAGAGAGAGAGAGAGAGAGAGAGAGAGAGAGAAAAGAGAAAAGAAAUGUGUCUAGUAAAGAAGAGAUAAUUUUCCAUAGAUCGCUUUAGAAACAUCUCAUGAAAGCGCCUAGUCAAUAUCCUCAGAAAAUAAUCAAGUGGCGCUACACUGGAAAUCCCAACCCAAGUGUAGGAAAUAGAUACAAAGAAAGUAUAAAGUUGAAUGAAAUUUCCAGAGGUCUAUGCAGGCAUCCAUGGAGAAGACUGUAUUACAUUUAGAGCAAGAUAUUUAUUUACAUUCAUGGAAAGCAUAUGAUUUCAUACUUUAUCGGGUUAGCUCAACAUUUCAAGGGGUAUGUGAUAUGAAUGCUAAGGGCAUGAUGUAACCACAGAGUGUAAGCAGUUAGUGUAGUUAAAGGAAUGAAUAAGUGGAUUCCCCUUUGUUGUUGUUUUGUUUUCUGCUUUGCUUGAUCAUUUACUGAUAUUUUCUGUUAAUUAAAUUAAUGAAGACUUUGUUUUCAUGAUUUUCUUUUAGUGAAAGUUCCUUUUCAUUAUUGAAUGGAAAUGAUAUUGCAGUUCCAUUGCAAUCUCCGAUGGUUGCCUGAUUCUAAAGCAUUAUGUGAUAGGGUAAAAUUGUUUUAAUUUUGACUGUGUUUGGGUGUUUUUGUUUGUUUUGAGGUAAGAGCAAAGCCUUGCAUGGGGUCAAAACCAAGGAGCUGAAUGCUGAUUAAAUUUAUACUCACCAUACUAAAUAUCACAUGGAAAUGCCUUAGAGAGAAAGCACAAAACCUAAUGUUCCUUCAUGUGUACAUUAUUUUCUCCCUUGGAUUUCAAACACAGCCCAAUAAUACUUAUAUGGCAGAGUUAUUUAAUUAAAAAUGUUUACCAAGUACCCAUGUGAAAGUUCUAUAGUACAAAAAGGAUUUUAUUGUCCAAGUCUUAAUCUCAUGGAUUUCAUUAUUUGAAAUAUUCAUAUGAAUUUUUAUAAAGACUUUACUAGACAAAUGUUAUAUAUCUAAGAUAAAAUAUUUGAUGUUUCCUGUAUUUAUUAUUGCUUUUUCUAAUUCUUUUGCAUUGGACAUUUUGUAAUUGUUUAUGUGUUAUACCUUGCUAAGCUUGAUUAUGUACAAAGUAUAUUUCCAUUCAUUGUAAAAUAGUGGUUUCAACCAUGUAUUCUAACCACAAAUAGCACUUACUAAAUUGUAUUAUCGAAAUUAUGGUAUUUUAAGUUACAUGAAAACAUCAGAUGAUUCAUGUUUGCUGUUUAUAUUAAAAUUAAACAGAAAGCACCUAUUCUUGGAGACUUUGGAAAUAACUAAAAUUUUGAUAUAUUUCUACACACACACACACACAUACACACACACACACACACACAUACACACACACACACACACACAUACAUACACACACUCAAACACAUUGUCCAGAUCAUCUUAGUUUUUUGCCAGAAUUGUACUAUUAAAUAUCUUUCCUUAUAACUUUCAUAGUUCUCAUUGCAAUAGGAGCAUUAAAAAGACAUGUUAAUUAGUUAUUUCAUAGAAAAUGAAAUAUGUGUAGUCAGGAAUAUUAUGCUUAAGAUGAUCAGAUUAUAAUUUUAUGAGCUAUGAUAUACAGCAUGGCAGCCAGUGGCCAACACAACUGAAAUGAAAAUUAAAGUUAAAUAUAAUAAAACUCAUAAUUUUUGUAUAUCCAAUUUAAAAGUCUUUCAGUUGAGCCAAAGCUCUAUGGGCCUUGGAGCUGUCAUGAUAAGCAUUCAAAAUCAAGCUUUGUUAUCAGUAGCAAUUUAGUGAAUAUCAAGCUUUUGUAUUCAAAUACAAAAUAUACCUCACUGAUAUAUUAAACCAAAUAAAUAUGCAUAUUUUAUAUAAUAAAUAAGUUUCUUUUGUACAGCAUUAUUAAACAGAAGCAUUGCUUGACACUGUGUAUAAAAAGAAUUAAAAACAGAUUUUGUUCUCUCCCAUAAAACACCAUGAUUCCAAUUUUCCUCUAUUCCUCUCCAUUUUCUCCAUCUCCCCAUCCAUUCAGAUCCAUUCCCUUUCUGUCUCUCACUGGAAAACAAACAAGCCUUCUGAAUGAUAAUAAUAAAUUAUAAAAUAAUAAAAUAAGAUUAAAACAAAAAGUUUCACAUCAGAAUUAGUUAAAACAAGCAGAAGGAAAGCUGCCCAGAGCAGAUACAACAAUUAGAGAUCCACUCAUUCAUAUACUUAGGAGGCCCAUAAAAACACUAAUAUAUAUUGAAUGCCAUAAUAUAUAUUCUGAGGACCUGGUGAAGACCCAUGUAUUCUCUGUGGCUGAUGUCUCAGUGUGUGGGAGUUCACAUGAGCCUUUUUAAAUAAAUCUGUUUUCAAUAAAAUGAAUAUUUUUUAAUUUUAAAAAUGUUAAAAUAUUUUUAUCCAUGUAAUCCUUAUUAUAAUAAAACAUUGGUGAACACACAGAUACAAAUAAUCUAUUCUGCCAUCUUUUCUACUGCUUCAUGUGUUAUUGAUAAGAUCAAAUAUUUCUUAGUUCCAAACCCCAAUAAUUAUCCAAAUUUCUUAUAUCACACUAUAUUUUAAUCAUUUUAUUACUCUAAAACUCUGAAGAUAUUCAUGGAUUUGAACUUAAUUUUAUAAAAUGUAAGGUGAAAUAUUUUAGAAUGCUAUCUUAAUGAAGUAGACAAAGUCUUUCACUGUUAAUAAUGACUCAAAAUUAUGUGUAAUCACAGUAGCUUGGGUUUUUUACUGUUGCUAUUAAUAGAUAUUAAUUAAGGUAUAAUUUGGUUUUAUAAAUACUAAUCUUCUGAUGAAAAUACCACUAACAGUGGCUAAUGAUGAAUCAAUAUGAGGUGAACCAUUGCAUAUCUUAUUAAAAAUAAGCUGUACAAAGUUAACCAAAGACAUGGAAAUAUAUAAUAAGUAAUUCAUAUCGUAAAUUGCUAUGUCUCGAUUUCCAAAUAAUUAUACUAUUUAUAACUUGGUAGAUUUUAGAACAUUUAACAAAGAAAUGAGCUUAUAACCUUUUAAAAAUGUUUUAAGAUUUUAGAACUUAUUUUAAUAGUGUUGCUGCUAUAUUUUCUAAAGUACCAAUAUUUAAUUAUUUGUACUUUCCAGCAUUUUAAUGUCAAAUACUCAAAUAUCAAUUAAAGAGAAUAUUUUGGGGGCUCUUUGAUUCUUCUUGUACACUUCCUGUUGAACUGAGCUGUCUUCUGUAUAAAUACUGGCUGAAGACCUGAAAAGUUCGGGCUCCAAUAUUACAAAAAUGAAGGGACCAAACAGUAGAAGGAACUUUCGAAAAGAACCUCAAGAUUAUACCAUUCAAUGUUCCAACAGGAGAGGAGAUAAAAUUACAGACUAAUCAAGAUUUCCAAAAUCUGGAUGGCAUGUUCUUUCCUGUGCAUCAAGGGCCUGAAAUCUGACACAUUUGAAAUCCUACAUGUAUCCUUCUGGCCUUAUGGUUCUUUUGCAACUUUUGUCUUUACAGUUUUCCCUAUUUAGCACCACCUAGUAAAUGCCUUUGGAAUUAUAAUCAUCUUCCCCUUUCAAAACACAUGCUACCUUUAUGCUGAAAAUAACAUUGCUAUUCAUUUUCCUGAGAAUUCAGCCACCAUACAGAUAUAUACUCAUAUAUAACAACUAAUUUUACAACAUGAUUAACAACAAAUUAUUGAAAAUCCAAUGUUUUUCAGCUUAAAAAUUAUCAUUUACUUAAAAUCAACACAAACAUAUAUGUAUAUGAUUUGCCAACAUUUAUAGGAUUGAACCAAAUAAAGAAUGCAUGGAACAUCGUUUAACAUGCAAACAAUUGCCCAUAAUUAUGUACCUUUCACAACAAGUCAUUGAAAAUUACAUUAAAAAAAAUCACUGGAACAACCAAAAAUGCUAGGUGCUCUUCUUCUGUAUGCAAAUCCUAGUUUUAUUCCAGUUUUCUUCCUUUUCUUUUUUGAGAACACAGAAAAUUUUAAUUUCAUCAGGAAGGUCACACUGAUAAAUCCCUAGAAUACUUCAACAUUACUAAAAUCUAUAAAAACAAAUUGGUUCCAAAUAAACCAAGCACCUAUGAUGGAGCUCACUGAGACCUCUCACAUUUCUAAUAUGAUCAUUGGGCAACAAAAAUCCUGAAGAGGAGGAAAAAAGUUUGUAAAAAAUUAUAACUAAACACAGAUAAUGUUGCUAGAUUAUGUUUAUAUUUAGAUUCAUACACAAAAUAUGCUAACAAUAAAACUUCAGACAAGAUA